GUGUCAGCCGCCGCGGUAAUACGAAGGGUGCAAGCGUUACUCGGAAUCACUGGGCGUAAAGCGUGCGUAGGCGGUUCGUUAAGUCUGCUGUGAAAGCCCUGGGCUCAACCUGGGAACUGCAGUGGAUACUGGCGGACUAGAGUGUGAUAGAGGAUGGUGGAAUUCCCGGUGUAGCGGUGAAAUGCGUAGAGAUCGGGAGGAACACCAGUGGCGAAGGCGGCCAUCUGGAUCAACACUGACGCUGAGGCACGAAAGCGUGGGGAGCAAACAGGAUUAGAAACCCUAGUAGUCC
rnacentral:rRNA from 1 species